UACGUAGGGUGCAAGCGUUGUCCGGAAUUAUUGGGCGUAAAGAGCUCGUAGGCGGUUUGUCGCGUCUGCUGUGAAAACUCAGGGCUUAACCCCUGAGCCUGCAGUGGGGUACGGGCAGACUAGAGUGUGGUAGGGGAGAUCGGAAUUCCUGGUGUAGCGGUGGAAUGCGGCAGAUAUCAGGAGGAACACCGGUGGCGAAGGCGGAUCUCUGGGC
rnacentral:rRNA from 1 species